ACUCCUACGGGAGGCAGCAGUGGGGAAUAUUGCACAAUGGGGGAAACCCUGAUGCAGCCAUGCCGCGUGUGUGAAGAAGGCCUUCGGGUUGUAAAGACACUUUCUAGUAGGGAGGAAGGUAGUGUAGUUAACACCUGCAUUAUUUGUACGUUACCUACAGAAGAAGCACCGGCUAACUCCGUGCCAGCAGCCGCGGUAAGUACGGAGGGUGCGAGCGUUAAUCGGAAUUACUGGGCGUAAAGCGCAUGCAGGCGGCCUGUUAAGUCAGAUGUGAAAGCCCGGGGUCUUAACCUCGGAAUUGCAUUUGAAACUGGCAGGCUAGAGUCUUGUAGAGGGGUUAGAAUUUCAGGUGUAGCGGUGAAAUGCGUAGAGAUCUGAAGGAAUACCAGU
rnacentral:rRNA from 1 species